rnacentral:rRNA from 1 species
CCUACGGGUGGCAGCAGUCGAGAAUCAUUCACAAUGGGGGAAACCCUGAUGGGGCGACGCCGCGUGGGGGAAUGAAGGUCUGCGGAUUGUAAACCCCUGUCAUGUGGGAGCAAAUUAAAAAGAUAGUACCACAAGAGGAAGAGACGGCUAACUCUGGGACAGCAGCCGCGGUAAUACAGAGGGCUCAAGCGUUGUUUGGAAUCACUGGGCGUAAAGCGUGCGUAGGCUGUUGCGUAAGUCGUGUGUGAAAGGCGCGGGCUCAACCCGCGGACGGCACGUGAUACUGCGAGACUAGAGUAAUGGAGGGGGAACCGGAAUUCUCGGUGUAGCCGUGAAAUGCGUAGAUAUCGGGAGGAACACUCGUGGCGAAGGCGGGUUCCUGAACAUUAACUGACGCUGAGGCACGAAGGCCAGGGGAGCGAAAAGGAUUAGAUACCCUUGUAGUC